AUUCAGCUGAUGAGUCCGAAAUAGGACGAAACUCGCGUCCUGGAU
rfam:Schistosoma mansoni strain Puerto Rico chromosome 5, complete genome